AAUAGCUCGUAGAUGUAAAGUUAUUCGUCUUUAACGGAUUGCUUCAAGUAUUGACCUAAUUUAACAUAUUUCUUUGCAAUAAUGGCGCUUUCCAUUGCAACUGAAUGGACAAGGUGCGUCACCGUUCUCUUUGUAUUCAGCGCGAUGUGGGGAAUUGCUUUGUCCAUUAAUCGCUACUCUAUUCCCGAGGAAAUGCAAGAGGGUUCCGUUGUUGCAAACCUGGCUACAGAUUUGGGACUUGACCUUCGCACUCUGAUAACACGCAAGGCAAAGCUUGACAUCAUCCACAGAAACAAAUAUUUGGACAUUAACAAAGAAACGGGAGACCUGUUCAUACUUGAAAAGAUAGAUAGGGAAUAUAUAUGCUCGAGCAAGACAACGUCUUGUUUUCUGAAAAUGGAUGUCAUAUUUGAAAAUCCCAUUCGAAUUUUUAACAUUGAGCUUGAAAUUAUGGACAUAAAUGACAAUGCACCGGUCUUUCGAAGGGAGACAAUGCACUUGGAUAUUUCAGAAUCUACCGCUGCAGGAGAGAGAUUCUCUUUGACAAAUGCUGUGGAUGCAGAUGUCGGUGCGAAUUCUAUUAAGACUUACUAUUUAAGCGAAAGCAAGUCUUUUAUAAUUGACAUACAGACGGGAAGCGAUGGAUCUAAAUACGUAGAUUUGGUUCUCAACAGUAAUUUAGACAGAGAGGAACAGGCGGUUCAUAAUUUAAUACUAACCGCUGUAGAUGGCGGGGUCCCUGCACGCUCAGGCACAGCCAGUAUCAUCGUUAGGGUUCUGGAUAUCAACGACAACGCCCCUUUUUUUAACCAGCCGAUAUAUGCUAUUAAUGUAACUGAGAACUCCCCAAUUGGAACUCUAGUAAUGACCUUGAACGCAACAGACUUGGACGAGGGCACUAACGCAGAGAUGAUAUAUUCAUACACGUUAUAUACAUCCGAGAAGACACAAGAAAAGUUCUCUCUAAAUUCGAAUACAGGGGAAAUAAAGGUUAAGGAUGUGAUUGAUUUUGAGGAGAGCCACAGUUUCGAUAUAUAUAUUCAAGCCAGAGACCAAGGAUCUAAUUCGUUAUCCGGAGAUUGUAAAAUAAUGAUAUUUAUUACCGAUCUGAAUGACAACUAUCCCGAGGUUACCAUUAAAUCUUUUAAAAGCACGCUCAAGGAAGAUGUUGCCAUAGGAACAUUAAUAGCAGUGAUCAGUAUAAGCGACAGGGACUUUGGGGACAACGGUGAAGUUGAGCUCACUUUGAACCAACAAACAUCCCUACCUUUCGUUCUUAAUAAGUCUUCGGAGGAUUAUUUUGCUCUGCAUGUUUCAGAACCACUGGACCGUGAGACAAUUCCAAGAUAUGAAAUCACUUUCAUAGUCACAGACAAAGGAACACCUCGCUUAUCUGACAAUGAGACAAUCACCUUGGAGAUACUGGAUGUCAACGAUAACUCGCCAAUAUUCCCCCAGUCGUUCUACACAAUCCAUGUUGUGGAGAACAACGUCCCCGGCGCACUGUUGACGUCACUCAGUGCUUUUGACCCGGACCUCCAUGAGAACCAGUAUCUGGUGUAUUUUAUCAUGGAGAAGGAGAUCAUUAACACAUCUAUGUCCAUGCUUUUCUCUAUUAAUCCAGAGAAUGGCAACCUUUACGCUCUGAAGACCUUUGACUUUGAGAGGGAGAGGGAGUUCCUUUUCCACAUAGAGGCCAGAGACUCUGGGGUACCUCCACUGAACAGCAAUGUCACAGUUCACAUCAUCAUUCUGGAUCAGAAUGACAACACCCCGCUCAUAGUGUCACCUUGGCGUGCGCAGGGCUCGGUUAUUGAAGAGGUGAUACCGAGGUCCACUGAUAAAGGAUUCCUAGUUGCCAAAGUAAUCGCCAUUGACGCAGACUCAUUACAGAAUUCACGGGUCACAUAUCAGCUUCUACAGAUCAGUGACUCUAGCCUCUUCAGUCUAGAUCAAUACAAUGGGGAGAUCCGUACCACAAGAAUGUUCAGCUAUAGGGACCCCCGUCAUCAGAGGCUGGUUGUUGUCGCCAAAGACAAUGGAGACCCUGCUCUUUCCGCUACAGUCACCAUCAAGAUAUCAACAGUAGAACACAUGGUGACACCAUUCUCAGAAACUACUGAGUUGCCUUUGGAAUAUGACUUGUUCACAGACUUAAAUCUGUAUUUGGUCAUUGGUUUGGGCUCAGUAUCCUUUCUGCUAUUGAUCACCAUAUUGGUGGUCAUCGUGCUGAAGUGUCAGAAACCGAAGCCCUUGAAGAUGCCUCCUGCUAUGAAUAUGAAUCUGAACAGUCUAAAUAGGAACAGUAUGAUCAGCAGAAACAGUAUCAUCAGCCAGAGGAGCUCUACCAUAGCCGAUUCCACCCUAAUCUCCAGUGAUGCCUACUGGUACAGCCUGUUUCUAGCAGAAACCAGGAAAGGCAAGGUGGUUGUCAGACAGCCUAUAGUACCGAAGGGAGCAGGCUACUUUGUGUCCAGUAUACCCAGAAGCACAGGGCCUACAGAGACCAGCGACUCAAGAGCAUCCACGCUACAGUACUCAAAAUGAAAGGAAGCCCAUUCUACAGCUGGAGGUAUGCUGGUUGCUGGUAACAUGAUGAUUCCAGGGCCAGCAGUGACCUGCCAUGAUGUCCUCAAUCUGGGGUAUUCGGCUGCAGAACGUUCAAAGAAGUUAAGAGUGACCAACACCCCUCCUUCAAUCACUGGGAUCCAACAGUUACCUCUGGGGGCAGCUCGUCGAACCCUCUGCCCAAACAUACCACACCAACCACCUCAGCAACUGUAGACUACCUUUAUCAUCUUCCAUCAAGCAUGAAUCUGCAUGGCUACAUCAACAGGUACUUGUAUUUAGAAAAUAUCAUAAAGAAGAAAGGAACAUCAAACACAAGGUCUUUCAGACAACAUUGGACUGAUGUCAUUAUGCAUAGCACCCUCCCUGGGACUUUUGACUGUAAAUGUGGGACCAGGCACUCAAUAUCUUCCAAAAUCCUACCUUACCUCUCCAAGAAACACAAUUACACAAAAGGGAUAUUCUGUUUAGUCCUUGUGAGGGUUCCUCAUCAUUGUGAUGUCAAUGCAUUAUUGGGGUAUGUGUGAGAGGUCACAAUAUGGUCAAUGCCAUAACUCUGUUAGCUAGUGAAAUAACAAUCUUUGUUCAUCUGUGAAUGUGUAGUGUGCAUAGAUAACUUUUGUACAUUUUGUUUAGAAAUAAUACUAAAGUUUUUCAUCAUUUGGCUUUGUAGACCUUACCAAUUUUCUUGAAUGUGUUGAAUUAUGUUUUUGACUCUGAACAUCAGCCUAUGUUAUGGGAUUAUUUAUCUCCUGAGACAUGGUAUGAGAUAUGCAUGUUGAGUUGGUAACAAGAUAGAUCAAGACCUCAUACCUGUCAUUCAAUGAGCCAGGUAGGAGAGAAGUACCCCAUCUUACUCCACUUCACAUUGCAGACAGAGAUAGCUAAUAUAUUCUCACGGUUGAAAUCUUCAUGAUCACAUUUGACACUGACGCUAUAUUUAGUAUAUUUUGAUGAGAAACAUUUCCUGCUCAGCAUGUGUGUAUAUAUAUAUAUAAAGCACAGACUAUAAUCCAUUUUUUGUGUGAGAAUCAUGUCCAAGGAAAAACUCAGGACAGCGAGAAAUACCCAGAUUUAGUUCCUACCUGCCUAAGCAGGACAAUAUGAGGGUCAAAUGUAGCCAACACUGUAUGUAGAAUAUCUGAGGCACUAAAGGGGUUCACUUUACAACAAUUUAUCAUACCUCUGUCUGAGCCUUCUCAACUAAACUCCACAGGCCUCUGCCAGGUUCCAAUUACUGUAACACUUACUCCAUCCCACACUCCCAGUGUCCCUGUCACUGUGAACAAACCUCAGUGAAUCAGCUAAAGGAGAAUUCAGUGUUAAACAGGAAGCUUAGAGGAAGAAACCAUGUGUACUUUAUAUAAGAAAUGUUACUAUAUUCACUUAAAAAAAUAAGACUGUUUAAAAAAAAGAUUUAUUGUUGUAUAUUUGAAAUGUAUUUAUGUUGGCAUGGUGCAAUACAAUAUUCUGGCCAUGUUUUUAAAGUUUACAAUGUUUUAUGAAUUGUCAUGUUUUUAUUGGAUAUUUUGACCUAACAAUUGUUAACACUGCUUUUUAUGUGACUUAUUCAAGUACAUUGUGUCGCCUACUGUAUGACUUUUGUAUUGCAAUACAUCAUUCAAAUCUUUUAUCUGAUACAGUGUACAGACAAACAAUCUAAAUUAUUUGAUGAAAUGUGAAUGUAGCGCUCCCCUGAUUAAGAAUUUAGCCAAAAUGUUAUUUUAAAUUUAUAGACAUACAGAGUAUCUCUUCUCCCAGCAAUACCCUGAAGUGCAGAGAUUUAAUGCAAGGCAUUAGGUCUUAGAAAUGAGAAACUAGAACAGACAGCACUAUAUACACGUCACAAUGAAGGGAAAGGGCCAAAAGAAGGAGAGAGAGAGUGAUAAGGAGAAAGAAUCUAAAGACGAGUGAGACAGAAAGGGGAUUCCUUUGACGCCAGUGCAUGUCAUGUAUGACCUAUAGGCCCUGCACUCACAAUCCAUCCAGCUAUUCCUAUUCACAGUGAUUUCCACUGAAUCCAGAUCUGGCUACACCACUCAUCUACCACAGGCUGCAGUGCAGUCAUAGUUUGAAGUUCUAAUCAACUCUCCAAUUCUCUCUUUAUCAGUCUCUUCCUAUUUAAAGCCCUGUGUGAAUCAUGACCUCACCUCCCGUCACAAUGUGAGGUCACUGUUUGGGUCUGAGGGCUGAUGGUGUUGGACACACAGCUGUCUGAUUGCUACACUAAUGAUGUGGGCGCUGCCUGCUCUUGUCUGUGGGGAGAAUAUGCUGCCUGAGCCUUGUAUGAAGACACAUUUAUUACACAUUUUAGGCAACAGAAAAUAUUAAACUAAAUUCAGACAUCUUGAGCUCUUUAUGGGUCUCCUGCAUUAUACCAGUACAUGUGACUUGAGGAGAAUGAGAUGAUGGUUCUUAAUCCAGAUUCAAGUCAUGAUUAUUGCAAGGGAUAAGAUGUCAUCUGGAUUCAUUUAGAUCCCAGGCAUUUGGGGAAAAUCUCCCAAGCAGUCAGUGGCUGGAUGAUUGGCUGAUAUGACCUGAGACCUUAAGCUCUACUUUGACAGUGGAUGGGGUUUAAAACCUGUAUCGGCGUAUCUACUUUGUACUUUUUUUAAAUGCAAUAUACUUUUUAUAUCUGAUGUAAUCUCUGCACUUGGCUUGAUGGUACAGGAGGGUGUCUGUGGUGCUUGCUUAAGUAUCAUGCAGAUCAUGUCUGUCUCUGUUGUGUAGCUACACUGCUUAUUCCUGCAUUAUGAUUAUAUGGUCUGACUGUAUCUGCUUCCCUUUCUGUAGGGCUUCCUGUGUUAUUUAUAGGUGGGUGGGGGGCGGGGACACAACCCACAACGCUGAUUGGCAGAUGCGAGUUAAAAAGUGAGUGAGAGAGAAUGGCAUUGCUACAUUUUUUUAUUCAAAAACAGUUUGGAUGUUGUUUCUGUUGCUUAAAUGUCCUGCUUGUAGAUGCUGGUGUCAAUAAAGCUUUAAGAUAUGUG